rfam:Gossypium arboreum cultivar AKA8401 contig_60489_1, whole genome shotgun sequence.
AGUCCAUAGUGAGGACACUUUUUCAACAAAUUCUUAAUUCUCUCUCAUGUAUCAUAAAGUGUUUCAAUAUCAAACUGAAAAAAUGAAGAAAUGUUAUUCAUCAACUU